rnacentral:rRNA from 1 species
UACAGAGGGUGCAAGCGUUAAUCGGAAUUACUGGGCGUAAAGCGUGCGUAGACGGUUACAUAAGUCGGGUGUGAAAGCCCCGGGCUCAACCUGGGAAUUGCAUUCGAGACUGCGUAGCUAGGGUGCGGAAGAGGGAAGCGGAAUUUCCGGUGUAGCGGUGAAAUGCGUAGAUAUCGGAAAGAACAUCGGUGGCGAAGGCGGCCGCCUGGGUCCAGACUGACACUGAGGUGCGAAAGCGUGGGGAGCAAACAGG